GCUGGGCACAGAGGUGCACGCCUGUAAUCCCAGCAGCUUUGGAGGCUGAGGCAGGAGAAUCCAGAGUUCAAAGCCAGCCUCAGUAAAAGCUAGGUGUUAAGCAACUCAGUGAGACCCUGUCUCUU
rnacentral:sRNA from 1 species